AUGAACGCUAGCUACAGGCUUAACACAUGCAAGUCGAGGGGCAGCAUGGUCUUAGCUUGCUAAGGCCGAUGGCGACCGGCGCACGGGUGAGUAACGCGUAUCCAACCUGCCUUACACUCUUGGACAGCCUUCUGAAAGGGAGAUUAAUACAAGAUGUUAUCAUGAGUAAGCAUUUUCGCAUGAUUAAAGGUUUACCGGUGUAAGAUGGGGAUGCGUUCCAUUAGAUAGUAGGCGGGGUAACGGCCCACCUAGUCUUCGAUGGAUAGGGGUUCUGAGAGGAAGGUCCCCCACAUUGGAACUGAGACACGGUCCAAACUCCUACGGGAGGCAGCAGUGAGGAAUAUUGGUCAAUGGACGAGAGUCUGAACCAGCCAAGUAGCGUGAAGGAUGAAGGUUCUAUGGAUUGUAAACUUCUUUUAUACGGGAAUAAACGAAUCCACGUGUGGAUUUUUGCAUGUACCGUAUGAAUAAGGAUCGGCUAACUCCGUGCCAGCAGCCGCGGUAAUACGGAGGAUCCGAGCGUUAUCCGGAUUUAUUGGGUUUAAAGGGAGCGUAGAUGGGUUGUUAAGUCAGUUGUGAAAGUUUGCGGCUCAACCGUAAAAUUGCAAUUGAUACUGGCAGUCUUGAGUACAGUUGAGGUAGGCGGAAUUCGUGGUGUAGCGGUGAAAUGCUUAGAUAUCACGAAGAACUCCGAUUGCGAAGGCAGCUUACUAACCUGUAACUGACAUUGAUGCUCGAAAGUGUGGGUAUCAAACAGGAUUAGAUACCCUGGUAGUCCACGCUGUAAACGAUGAUUACUAGGUGUGGGGGGACUGACCCCUUCCGUGCCGCAGUUAACACAAUAAGUAAUCCACCUGGGGAGUACGACCGCAAGGUUGAAACUCAAAGGAAUUGACGGGGGCCCGCACAAGCAGUGGAGUAUGUGGUUUAAUUCGAAGCAACGCGAAGAACCUUACCUGCUCUUGACAUCCCGGUGACGGCAGAGUAAUGUCUGCUUUUCUUCGGAACACCGGUGACAGGUGGUGCAUGGUUGUCGUCAGCUCGUGUCGUGAGAUGUUGGGUUAAGUCCCGCAACGAGCGCAACCCUUAUCCUUUGUUGCCAGCGGUCCGGCCGGGAACUCAAAGGAGACUGCCAGUGAUAAACUGGAGGAAGGUGGGGAUGACGUCAAAUCAGCACGGCCCUUAUGUCCGGGGCUACACACGUGUUACAAUGGGGGGUACAGAGGGCUGCUACCACGCAAGUGGAUGCCAAUCCCAAAAACCUCUCUCAGUUCGGAUUGAAGUCUGCAACCCGACUUCAUGAAGCUGGAAUCGCUAGUAAUCGCGAAUCAGCAUGUCGCGGUGAAUACGUUCUCGGGCCUUGUACACACCGCCCGUCAAACCAUGGGAGUUGGUAAUGCCCGAAGCCGGUGGCAUAACCCUUCGGGGAGUGAGCCGUCGAAGGCAGGACCGAUGACUGGGGUU
rnacentral:rRNA from 1 species